GGAGAUGAGAUUGGGGGACGAGUGAGCCGAGAUCCUGUUUAUAUUCAAGUUCACAAAUUUGACGAGACUCGGUAUACAGGAAAGGUCUUAUAUUGUCAUGAUACGAAGGAAAGGGAAGAGAAGGGAGAUGAGAUUGGGAGACGAGUGAGCCGAGAUCCUGUUUAUAUUCAAGUUCACAAAUUUGACGAGACUAUACAGGAAAGGUCUUAUAUUGUCAUGAUACGAAGGAAAGGGAGGAGAAGGGAGAUGAGAUUGGGAGACGAGUGAGCCGAGAUCCUGUUUAUAUUCAAGUUCACAAAUUUGACAAGACUAUACAGGAAAAGCUGUGUUUAUGAUAUGAAGGAAAGGGAAGAGAAGGGAGAUGAGUAAGCUGAGAUCCUGUUUAUAUUCAAGUCCACAAAUUUGACGACACAAUACAGGAAAAGCUCUUUGUAUUUAGUGUGUCAUCGAAGACCGCGCCAUUUUGAACAGUAUGGGAUUCUAUAGCUUGGUUCAGGAGUGUUACAAAGACUGUGAUGGACUGUGGAAGCGGCCCUUAAUGUUCCCUGUUCUAAUAUGCCUCUCUGUUUUUGCAGGAUGCCGCGGACGGACCAUGCAGAGGACUCAUCGCGACGACACCAACGGUUUGGUUAAGUGGGUUCUCUUGUGUGUGCGUCUGUGUGUGAAUGGCAGGCCUGUCGUAUGAUUGUGUGUGUGUGUGCGUUGGCGUUAUGCCUUCGCACUAUUAUUUUGUUAGGAUGUAUUUUUGUGUGUGAACUUUUUGCACGUAAUCUUUUUUUAUACCCAUAGCUAGCGUUUGUUUGUGUGGCAGUGUUCCGGGAGAUGGACGCCGGGGGACAUGGGCUUGGGGAGGCGCACAUGACCUCCUCUGUCCGUGACCUCUUCAGCUGGGGAGACCGUGUGUUGCCCCGCCUGGAGAGACACGUUGAUGGAGGUGGCCGUGUGUGUCACCCUUUGCCUGUAUCCUCUGGCGCCCAGAGGCGCGUAAGCGGAGC